AGAGUUUGAUCCUGGCUCAGAUUGAACGCUGGCGGAAUGCUUUACACAUGCAAGUCGAACGGUAGAGGGGGCAACCCCUUGAGAGUGGCGAACGGGUGAGUAAUAUAUCGGAACGUGCCCAGUCGUGGGGGAUAACGUAGCGAAAGUUACGCUAAUACCGCAUACGAUCUAAGGAUGAAAGCGGGGGACUCGCAAGAGCCUCGCGCGAUUGGAGCGGCCGAUAUCAGAUUAGGUAGUUGGUGAGGUAAAGGCUCACCAAGCCAACGAUCUGUAGCUGGUCUGAGAGGACGACCAGCCACACUGGAACUGAGACACGGUCCAGACUCCUACGGGAGGCAGCAGUGGGGAAUUUUGGACAAUGGACGCAAGUCUGAUCCAGCCAUUCCGCGUGCAGGAUGAAGGCCCUCGGGUUGUAAACUGCUUUUGUACGGAACGAAAAGGUUUGUCUUAAUACGAUGAGCCCAUGACGGUACCGUAAGAAUAAGCACCGGCUAACUACGUGCCAGCAGCCGCGGUAAUACGUAGGGUGCAAGCGUUAAUCGGAAUUACUGGGCGUAAAGCGCGCGUAGGUGGUUAGUUAAGUUGGAUGUGAAAUCCCCGGGCUCAACCUGGGAACUGCAUUCAAAACUGACUGACUAGAGUAUGGUAGAGGGUGGUGGAAUUUCCUGUGUAGCGGUGAAAUGCGUAGAUAUAGGAAGGAACACCAGUGGCGAAG
rnacentral:rRNA from 1 species